rnacentral:rRNA from 1 species
GGAGCGAGCAGUGGGAAUUUUGCACACGGCCCCAACCUGAUGCAGCGACCUCGGAGGAGGGAUGCCGCCUUUCGGUGUAAACUCUUUCAGUAGGGAAGAACGGAAAGUGACCGUUCCUGCAGAAGAAGGACUGGUUACCUACGUGCAGCAGCGGCGGUAAUACGUAGGGUGGGAGCGUUUUCCGCAAUUAUUGGGUGUAAAGAGCUCGUAGGGGGUUUCGUCGCGUCUGUCGUGAAAGUCCGGGGCUUCACCCAGGAUCUGCGGUGGGUACGGGCAGACUAGAGUGCAGUAGGGGAGACUGGAAUUCCUGGUGUAGCGGUGGAAUGCGCAGAUAUCAGGAGGAACACCGAUGGCGAAGGCAGGUCUCUGGGCUGUAACUGACGCUGAGGAGCGAAAGCAUGGGGAGCGAACAGGAUUAGAUACCCUGGUAGUCCAUGCCGUAAACGUUGGGCACUAGGUGUGGGGACCAUUCCACGGUUUCCGCGCCGCAGCUAACGCAUUAAGUGCCCCGCCUGGGGAGUACGGCCGCAAGGCUAAAACUCAAAGGAAUUGACGGGGGCCCGCACAAGCGGCGGAGCAUGCGGAUUAAUUCGAUGCAACGCGAAGAACCUUACCAAGGCUUGACAUGUUCUCGAUCGCCGUAGAGAUACGGUUUCCCCUUUGGGGCGGGUUCACAGGUGGUGCAUGGUUGUCGUCAGCUCGUGUCGUGAGAUGUUGGGUUAAGUCCCGCAACGAGCGCAACCCUCGUUCCAUGUUGCCAGCACGUAAUGGUGGGGACUCAUGGGAGACUGCCGGGGUCAACUCGGAGGAAGGUGAGGACGACGUCAAAUCAUCAUGCCCCUUAUGUCUUGGGCUUCACGCAUGCUACAAUGGCCGGUACAAUGGGUUGCGAUACUGUGAGGUGGAGCUAAUCCCAAAAAGCCGGUCUCAGUUCGGAUUGGGGUCUGCAACUCGACCCCAUGAAGUCGGAGUCGCUAGUAAUCGCAGAUCAGCAACGCUGCGGUGAAUACGUUCCCGGGCCUUGUACACACCGCCCGUCAAGUCACGAAAGUCGGUACCACCCGAAGCCCCUGGCCUCACGCCUCUCGGUACAGCGCUAACCAUAGGACUCCCCCC